GGCGGCGGCGGGGUGCUGCUGUCCGACGUCAGGAGGGAGAUCUACGACCGCCUGCGGGCCGUCGGCAACCAGGAGGCGCUCGCCGACCCCUUCUUCAACCGCGUGCUCGAGGACAACUACCAACGCCUCCCGCCAAGCCACUACAUCGACCUCGACGUGAGCAUGGAAGCCAGGGAUCCCCCACAAUUACCGUUUUGAUUUGGAGCCAGAGGUUUGUCCUGCUGAAGGAAUCGGACGUGGAAGACAGGACGGUUGUCGGGGUCGGCGCACUCGGCGAGGAUCCAGCGAUGGAGCAGCACGUCCUCCCGCCUUGUUCACCAGCGUUCCUGCGUGGCAUAGUUCUGUAAGAAUUGUCAAAAGCUCAAAAGCGAAUGUUAGAAGCCUGGAGAAUGAGAAGACUGAUGGAACGGGAGCUUGACAGAAGGUCAAAUGAUUGGUCAGCCAGGCUGGCAAGAUUUCAAGCCGAAGAACAGCGACUACGGGAUAGAGUAAUGGAGCUAGCAGAGCAGAAUGUGUCAUUUCAGAGAGAAGUUACUUUGUUUGAAUCGAAACGAGUUGAGGCUUCUAACAAGAUUAGAAGUUUGGAACUGCAAAACAAACAACUGAAUGAUGAGAUGGAGAAAGUUAAAGGUGAGCACACCAAAAGCAGUGAUAUGGAUAUAUCCUCAGUAGAGUUGCAUGAUAGCUUUACAAAAGCUGCAGAAGAAAGGGACCAAAUCCAAGAAUGCUUAAAAUCCAAAGAAGAUAACAGUAGGGCACUGCACAAGGUGAUUGCAAGGUUACAAGGGGCAUCUAAUGAGUAGGAAAAAACAAUAAAUGGGCUCAGGCAAGGAUUUAGUGCUGAAUUAGAAAAUAGAUCUGUUGGAAGUAGCGAAAGCAUCACCAGGAUGCAAAUGGAACUUUUGGGACUUACUGGAGUUGAGCAAAAGCUGAGAAAAGAAAUUCAGUCCUGUAACCUUGAAGUAGAGUCUCUUCAGCAAGAGAACAUAGGGAUUUUAAACCGUCUACAAAGCAGUGGGAAUGGAUUAAGUUUAUCCUCACAUCAUCUUGUCCUGGAACUUCACGCUAGAGUGGACAACUUGCAGAUGCAAGGCUUAUCGUUACUUGAAGAUACUAGCUGUCUUUGUGGCAAGUUGUUGGGCGUCAUGAAAUCCAAGAGUGAGACAAUUGGCAGUGUUGAUGCACUAGCAGACAUUGAAUACACUCUGAAGUACCAGAACCUAAGACAAGGAAUGGAUUAUUUAGCCCUUAGUCUGAGAAAAGUUAAAUCUGUGUUGGUUGAAAAACACAAUAAAGAAGACAACAUAGUGGGUGUUUCUGUGGGACAUGAUACAUUAUAUAUUAUUGUUGUUCUUGAGUAAAGUGCAGGAAGGCAUGAAUUCAACGGCGAAAACUUCUAUCAGGAUGGGGUCCCUCUAGGCGGGAAGGCAUGGACCCAACAGCAAGGACAUCGAUUAUGAUGGAUUCAACCGGACUGCUCGAUUACUGAAUGACAUAAUAUGGUUAUGAUGUGGGUUCAUGGAGGUACUCUAGCCCCAACAAAACUAUGACUCAUCCAACCUUUUCGGGCAGGUUCACUAUUCUUCAAUCGUAGUGUUGCAUAUUCCUAUUUGAAUGAUAGGUGGUGCAUAGAAUUAAUGAUUCAGAAAAAUUAUUUUUUCUUUGUUACGAACAAGUCUGCAACUCUCCCAGAUAGAAGAUUAUCACUAAAAGAGAACAACUAAUUAGUCUUGGUAGAUGAAGUCAGAUUGUGUACUGACAUUGUGGUAAUCUCUGUAUCCUAUUUCUUCUUGUUAUUUGUGUUAUUUUGCUUACACAAAAUGGUCAUGUUUAUCUCAAAUUUCUUUUGUCAAUUGCCUCCAAAUUAAAAAAUCAGGGUAAUAUAUAGAAUGUGUAUGUUCCAUUACCCACAACUGUACCAUUAUCUUCUAUUGAAUAAUUGGAUUAAUAAACUUUUCAUAA